CGGUGUUCAACUGGCGUGCCCGCGGGACGUCCUGCCGGUGAGCUCAGCCCGCGAGGGCGGCUCAACUUGAAAUCCCAUCGCGGUGCUCUUCAUUGAGUGUCGAGGUGGGCCGGCACGAUUACUUUUGAACAAAUUAGAGUGCUUAAAGCAGGCUAAAAUUUUGCCUGAAUACUGUGUAUAUGGAAUAAUGGAAUAGGACCUCGGUUCUAUUUUGUUGGUUUUCGGAACCCCGAGGUAAUGAUUAAUAGGAACGGAUGGGGGCAUUCGUAUUGCGACGUUAGAGGUGAAAUUCUUGGAUCGUCGCAAGACGGACUAAAGCGAAAGCAUUUGCCAAAAACGCUUUUAUUGAUCAAGAACGAAAGUUAGAGGUUCGAAGGCGAUCAGAUACCGCCCUAGUUCUAACCAUAAACUAUGCCAGCUAGCGAUCCGCCGACGUCCCUCUGAUGACUCGGCGGGCAGCUUCCGGGAAACCAAAGCUUUUGGGUUCCGGGGGAAGUAUGGUUGCAAAGCUGAAACUUAAAGGAAUUGACGGAAGGGCACCACCAGGAGUGGAGCCUGCGGCUUAAUUUGACUCAACACGGGAAACCUCACCAGGCCCAGACACUGGAAGGAUUGACAGAUUGAGAGCUCUUUCUUGAUUCAGUGGGUGGUGGUGCAUGGCCGUUCUUAGUCGGUGGAGCGAUUUGUCAGGUUAAUUCCGAUAACGGACGAGACUCUGACCUGAUAACUAGACGCACUUGCGGCAUCUCAAAGGUCCGCCGGCGGCUGGCUUUGCGCCCGUCGUCGCGCGCGAUUUUUACUGCCGGCGUACAAUAAAUUCUUCUUAGAGGGACAAGUGG
rnacentral:rRNA from 1 species